UUGGUGGAGCAUGUGGUUUAAUUCGAAGCAACGCGAAGAACCUUACCAGGUCUUGACAUCCUCUGACAACUCUAGAGAUAGAGCGUUCCCCUUCGGGGGACAGAGUGACAGGUGGUGCAUGGUUGUCGUCAGCUCGUGUCGUGAGAUGUUGGGUUAAGUCCCGCAACGAGCGCAACCCUUGAUCUUAGUUGCCAGCAUUUAGUUGGGCACUCUAAGGUGACUGCCGGUGACAAACCGGAGGAAGGUGGGGAUGACGUCAAAUCAUCAUGCCCCUUAUGACCUGGGCUACACACGUGGCUACAAUGGA
rnacentral:rRNA from 2 species